CCAUACUACUUUAUCAGUUACUGUUUUUUUGCAUGGAUAUUUUUUCAUUUACUUAUGAGUGCAAAUAUCAGACAUAGCACUGAUCUUAUUUCUUUGGAUCAUACUGUUUUUCAGUUAGUAACAAAGCAAUGUUAUUAUUGCUAAUUGUGGUUGUUGUUUUUCUAAAUCCGCAGUAACAUUUGUGCCCAUCUGAGCUUCCGUUAGUUCAUUAUAUUUUUUUUCAUUAUACUUCAGUAUAUGAUGUUUUUUGAGUAUCAAUAUUAUUUUUCUAUAUCUAAGAGUCCAGUUUGUGUCCAUUUGUGCUUGCUUUCAUGUUCUCUUAACAAAAUUACUUUGUACACUCUUCCUAGAUUUGUUUUGAACACAAUUACAGUAUGAGUUUUGCUUGCUUUGGCUGAAGAUAUUCCGAUUAGCUCUUGAAAGGUCUGUCUGAGACAGACUUGAACUUUAAUUGCUUAAGUUUUUUCAAUCCUAUUUACUGGUCUCGAUCUGUUUUAGGGAUUUUGACAUUUCAGGAACAUAAAGUCAAGAGUCAAGACAGGAUAUAUGUGCCAAAGUAGGGCCAGUUAUCUAAUUUCAGUACUUCAAGACAAGCCCGGUGGUGAAACAAUUCAGGCUGGACUACUUACAACAGUUGUCAGCUUCCUUUCGCAGCAUGGACGGGGGUGAUGGACGCAGAUAUUCAAGCACGAUUUGUAGAAAAAUUGUUACUUAAGAAUGAAGAACAAUGCUGGCAGAUUUGUUCUUGCCCUUCCAGUGCAAAAGAGGGAAGAACAAUCAUCAACCUCUCUUCUGACGGUGAGGACAUUGAUGCAACGCACUGACCGGUUGGAGAGGCGCGGGGUGUCAUCUGUGUUAUUUCAAGGGAAGCUGCUGUAGUUAGUUGCGUUCAAGGACGCGGUGGAGUUUCAUCUUUUAUGCCUCCAUGCGGUGCGCUGUAUUGAAGCGCUGGCCUUUUUGAAGAUCUGGACGAACUCACGGCCCUGGAUGUCGCUCUCACAGGUGGCAAGUGAAGCACAGCUCCCGUGGCUGUGAUGAGCAGGAACUUUACCAGGACAAGCAUCUUCAGUCUAGCAGAAACUGCGUAUGGUUCUGCAGACUGGUACAUUGCCCUCGAGAAGCUAGAUGCAGCCUGCACAUCUUACUGGUUUUUCAGUGGGUUGUCUCCUAUUGUUUAAUUCUUAUGUCUUCAUAUGUCUGCACAGCUGGGAUUACUCAUUUGUGAACCGACUCAUUUGUUGUCAAAUCCUCUUAAUUCAGAGUUUACAGCCGUCUCAAGCAGAGCUCAGACAGAGAGGCUUAGGCGAUUACUGCUACUUUAGCUGUUGUAAGGCCCAGGCAAGUUAAUGUGAAAUGGGGCAUUCAGCUAACACAGAGUAGUCCAGAUGCCACA